CAUGCCGUAAACGAUGAGUGCUAAGUGUUCGGGGGUUUCCGCCCCUUAGUGCUGCAGCUAACGCAUUAAGCACUCCGCCUGGGGAGUACGACCGCAAGGUUGAAACUCAAAGGAAUUGACGGGGGCCCGCACAAGCGGUGGAGCAUGUGGUUUAAUUCGAAGCAACGCGAAGAACCUUACCAGGUCUUGACAUCCCGAUGAUCGCUCUAGAGAGAGAGUUUUCCCUUCGGGGACAUUGGUGACAGGUGG
rnacentral:rRNA from 1 species